rnacentral:rRNA from 1 species
GGCUUAACACAUGCAAGUCGAGCGGUAACAGGAGAAGCUUGCUUCUCGCUGACGAGCGGCGGACGGGUGAGUAAUACUUAGGAAUCUACCUAGUAGUGGGGGAUAGCACGGGGAAACUCGUAUUAAUACCGCAUACGACCUACGGGAGAAAGGGGGCAGUUUACUGCUCUCGCUAUUAGAUGAGCCUAAGUCGGAUUAGCUAGAUGGUGGGGUAAAGGCCUACCAUGGCGACGAUCUGUAGCUGGUCUGAGAGGAUGAUCAGCCACACCGGGACUGAGACACGGCCCGGACUCCUACGGGAGGCAGCAGUGGGGAAUAUUGGACAAUGGGGGAAACCCUGAUCCAGCCAUGCCGCGUGUGUGAAGAAGGCCUUUUGGUUGUAAAGCACUUUAAGCAGUGAAGAAGACUCCRUGGUUAAUACCCAYGGACGAUGACAUUAGCUGCAGAAUAAGCACCGGCUAACUCUGUGCCAGCAGCCGCGGUAAUACAGAGGGUGCAAGCGUUAAUCGGAAUUACUGGGCGUAAAGGGAGCGUAGGUGGCUCUAUAAGUCAGAUGUGAAAUCCCCGGGCUUAACCUGGGAACUGCAUCUGAAACUGUAGAGCUAGAGUAUGUGAGAGGAAGGUAGAAUUCCAGGUGUAGCGGUGAAAUGCGUAGAGAUCUGGAGGAAUACCGAUGGCGAAGGCAGCCUUC